ensembl:rRNA 5S_rRNA 5S ribosomal RNA
UAUAAAGCAGAUAUCACUCUGCAGCCCAAGACCAGUUACUCACUGAAGCUAAGCAGGGCUGAGCCUGGUCAGUACCUGGCUGGGAGACCACAUGGGAAAACUAGGUUGUUGUUGGAA